AUCAAGGCAGAGAGUUUGUCAACCAGGUGUGCAAGGUACUCCAUUGUCAAUUCAAUGUCAGGCAAAGAAUAACAGCUGCUUAUCAUCCUCAGUCUAACGGACUAGAUGAAAGAACAAAUCAAACAAUUAGAAAAUGCCUUGAAAAAUUGGUAAUAGAGCAUGAAGAAGACUGGGAUGAACUCCUUGACCCAGUUCUCUUUGCUAUUCGAACCAGUGUUCAAGAGUCCACCAAGUUCACUCCUUUCUUUUUAAUGCAUGGGCGAG